UACGGAGGGGGCUAGCGUUGUUCGGAAUUACUGGGCGUAAAGCGCGCGUAGGCGGCUUUGUAAGUUAGAGGUGAAAGCCCGGAGCUCAACUCCGGAAUUGCCUUUAAGACUGCAUCGCUGGAAUCAUGGAGAGGUUAGUGGAAUUCCGAGUGUAGAGGUGAAAUUCGUAGAUAUUCGGAAGAACACCAGUGGCGAAGGCGACUAACUGGACAUGUAUUGACGCUGAGGUGCGAAAGCGUGGGGAGCAAACGGG
rnacentral:rRNA from 1 species